UUAAUAAUUUUUUUCCUUUUGUGGAUUUGUUUUAGUGAAGUUGAAGCUGCCAAAAUUUCACCUGUCCCAGUGGACCAGGCAUAUAAUUAAUGGCUAAUUUGAUAUGUAUGGAUUUCGUUUAAUGGAAUAAAUCAUCAUUUGAUUUUUGCCUCUCCAAUCUCUAGUGAUACAUAUAGUUCAACAUUUUCCUGAGCCACCAUUUCCCUCUACAUAGGACCUGACUUGAUAUUUGAGAAAAGCUCAACUAUGGAAUGAAAAAGCAGGAAUGAAUGGCCUCCAAAUCUUAAUUUUUUUGUCAGUUGCUACUCCUCUUGAUUGAGGGAUACUAGCCUUUGCAUAGCUGUUGUGAAAAAGGAGAUGACCAGAAGAAAUUCACCUUCCGGUGGCAGCUGCCACCAACACACAGAAGCACUCACUCAAGAUGGCUUAAAGGAGACAGUGACUCAAUGUACGACUAGAAAA